GAUCAUGGCUCAGGAUGAACGCUGGCGGCGUGCCUAAUACAUGCAAGUCGAGCGAAUGGAUUAAGAGCUUGCUCUUAUGAAGUUAGCGGCGGACGGGUGAGUAACACGUGCGAAAUUGAAAGGCGGCUUCGGCUGUCACUUAUGGAUGGACCCGCGUCGCAUUAGCUAGUUGGUGAGGUAACGGCUCACCAAGGCGACGAUGCGUAGCCGACCUGAGAGGGUGAUCGGCCACACUGGGACUGAGACACGGCCCAGACUCCUACGGGAGGCAGCAGUAGGGAAUCUUCCGCAAUGGACGAAAGUCUGACGGAGCAACGCCGCGUGAGUGAUGAAGGCUUUCGGGUCGUAAAACUCUGUUGUUAGGGAAGAACAAGUGCUAGUUGAAUAAGCUGGCACCUUGACGGUACCUAACCAGAAAGCCACGGCUAACUACGUGCCAGCAGCCGCGGUAAUACGUAGGUGGCAAGCGUUAUCCGGAAUUAUUGGGCGUAAAGCGCGCGCAGGUGGUUUCUUAAGUCUGAUGUGAAAGCCCACGGCUCAACCGUGGAGGGUCAUUGGAAACUGGGAGACUUGAGUGCAGAAGAGGAAAGUGGAAUUCCAUGUGUAGCGGUGAAAUGCGUAGAGAUAUGGAGGAACACCAGUGGCGAAGGCGACUUUCUGGUCUGUAACUGACACUGAGGCGCGAAAGCGUGGGGAGCAAACAGGAUUAGACACCAGUGGCGAAGGCGACUUUCUGGUCUGUAACUGACACUGAGGCGCGAAAGCGUGGGGGUAGUCCACGCCGUAAACGAUGAGUGCUAAGUGUUAGAGGGUUUCCGCCCUUUAGUGCUGAAGUUAACGCAUUAAGCACUCCGCCUGGGGAGUACGGCCGCAAGGCUGAAAC
rnacentral:rRNA from 1 species